CCUACGGGGUGCAGCAGUGAGGAAUAUUGGUCAAUGGCCGGAAGGCUGAACCAGCCAAGCCGCGUGAGGGAGGAAGGCGCAGAGCGUCGCAGACCUCUUUUGCCGGGGGACAUAAUGCCGGACGCGUACGGUCCUGACGGUACCUGACUAAGAAGCCCCGGCUAACUACGGGCCAGCAUCCGCGGUAAUGCGUCUGGGUCAAGCGUUAUCCGGAUUUACUGGGGGUAAAGGGAGCGUAGCCGGGUCAGCAAGGCGGAUGGUCCAGGGCGGGGCCCAACCCCGGGACUGCAUUGGCAACUGUUGAACUGCAGUACAGGAGCGUUCAGCGGAAUUCCUAGUGUAGCGGUGAAAUGCGUAGAUAUUAGGAGGAACACCCGUGGCGAAGGCGGCUUACUGGACUGUAACUGACGUUGCGUCUCGCAAGCGUGGGGAGCAAACAGGAUUAGAUACCCCAGUAGUC
rnacentral:rRNA from 1 species